rnacentral:rRNA from 1 species
UACGGAGGGGGCGAGCGUUAUUCGGAAUUAUUGGGCGUAAAGGGCGCGUAGGCGGCUGGGCAAGUCAAAGGUGAAAUCCCUCGGCUCAACUGAGGAACUGCCUUUGAAACUGCCUGGCUUGAGGCCGGGAGGGGGUAGCGGAAUUCCCAGUGUAGCGGUGAAAUGCGUAGAUAUUGGGAGGAACACCAGUGGCGAAGGCGGCCACCUGGACCGGUUCUGACGCUGAUGCGCGAAAGCGUGGGUAGCAAACAGG